rnacentral:rRNA from 1 species
GACGAACGCUGGCGGCGUGCUUAACACAUGCAAGUCGAACGGUGAUGGGGAGCUUGCUUCCCUGAUCAGUGGCGAACGGGUGAGUAACACGUGAGUAACCUGCCCUUCACUCUGGGAUAACUCCGGGAAACCGGGGCUAAUACUGGAUACGACCCGAACAGGCAUCUGUAUUGGGUGGAAAGAUUUAUUGGUGGAGGAUGGACUCGCGGCCUAUCAGCUUGUUGGUGAGGUAAUGGCUCUCCAAGGCGACGACGGGUAGCCGGCCUGAGAGGGCGAUCGGCCACACUGGGACUGAGACACGGCCCAGACUCCUACGGGAGGCAGCAGUGGGGAAUAUUGCACAAUGGGCGAAAGCCUGAUGCAGCGACGCCGCGUGAGGGAUGGAA